CUUGGCCUGACUGCUUAAACUGGAACAUACAUCUUCUUAUGAACAAGGAGCUCCUGGUUCUCAAGCCUUUAGACCUGGACUGGAAUCUACACCACUGGCUCUCUGGCCUUCUAACUGCACCACCAGAUUACCUGAGUCUCCAGCUUGCAGAUGAUAAACCACAAAUUCAUCUUCUUCCAUGCUUUGUGAUAAAAGAAUUGGGCCCUGAAACUUUCUUCUUUGCCACCCAGCAAGAUGUUCAUCCUUGUCAAUAGAGGAUGCUGAAGGGAGACUUGGGGAGAAAGGAGUUUUCUUUUUUUGGUUCAGGCGUGGCUCUCUUGCCAGACUCCAGCAGAGAGUGUUUUCUCUAUUGCUUGGCCCACAGUUUCUCCCGUGCUCAGUUCCUAAGGAAUGCUCCUUUCUCCAGUAUUUGGCUGCAGUGCAAUCCUUCCAGCUCUCUACUCAAGCAGUGGUGGUAUACCUGGGAGCCCAAGAGCAUGCAGGCUGGUGCCCCAGCCCAGGUCACUGUUCCAAACCUCAGGAACGUACAUGCCCAGGACUGCAUAAGGCUGGGCAUCUAGCAAGCUGGCCACCUGACUUUUAUCCCUGCAAAUGUCCUAGAGAUACUCUGGUCCAAUCCAAGCACAAAAGUGAACUAAACGCUGCAGAAGAAAGCCCCUCCAGCACCCAGUUCCACAAGUGCUCAGCAGCCCACAGCUUCCCUCAGCACCUAGAAAGUUCUGAGGCUCCAAAAUUUCCUGCAGUCAGCCUUCUCCAACAUCCCCGAGGAAGACUUCAGGCACGUUCUCCUAGCCCAACACUGCUGGGACUUCUCUGCCAGAGUCUGGCGGAUAAUGUGCUCCACCUGACCAACAAAAGGAAAAUAGCGUAUUCAAGAAGCAAGAAAUUCAACAAAGGAGUGAAUUAGAGGGAAUUCACAUCCUGCCUCCAGUUUCCCAGAUAUGAAGGACUGUGAGACUAAAUAAAUCAUUAUAUAUUCCACAAGCAAUUCUCCUGCGACAGCCUUUCAAAAAAGAAUUAGGAAGCCUGAAUAUUAAAUGCCAGCAACCCAUGACUAGGAUAAGGUCAGUUUCAAGGAUAAAGACAUUUUUGAAUUGAGCAGUUUGUCACACUUACGUAAAAACAAUUUGAACAAUAAGCCUUUGUUAUUGUAUGUCUAAUUUAUGAAGAAAGCCAUUACCCUCAGUAACUUCACUUACAAAAAGGGAAAGUAUACGCAUCCUCUCUCUCCCCUUCUAUCCUUCUAUCUCUCUCUCUCUCUCUCUCUCUCUCUCACACACACACACACACACACACACACACACAUAUACACUGAUCACAAAAUUGAAUGUCAGUG
rnacentral:lncRNA from 1 species